rnacentral:rRNA from 1 species
AGAGUUUGAUCCUGGCUCAGAACGAACGCUGGCGGCACGCCUAACACAUGCAAGUCGAACGGAAUUUAAGUCUUCGGAUUUAAAUUUAGUGGCGGACGGGUGAGUAACGCGUGGGAACCUGCCUUUAGGUUCGGAAUAACUCAGAGAAAUUUGAGCUAAUACCGGAUAAUGUCUUCGGACCAAAGAUUUAUCGCCUUUAGAUGGGCCCGCGUUGGAUUAGCUAGUUGGUGGGGUAAAGGCCUAUCAAGGCGACGAUCCAUAGCUGGUCUGAGAGGAUGAUCAGCCACACUGGGACUGAGACACGGCCCAGACUCCUACGGGAGGCAGCAGUGGGGAAUAUUGGACAAUGGGCGAAAGCCUGAUCCAGCAAUGCCGCGUGAGUGAUGAAGGCCUUAGGGUUGUAAAGCUCUUUUACCCGAGAUGAUAAUGACAGUAUCGGGAGAAUAAGCUCCGGCUAACUCCGUG